ensembl:snRNA U6 U6 spliceosomal RNA
GCAACUUAGCAGUGCUUAUAAUAAAAUUGGAGAGAUAGAGAAAAAUAACAUGGCCUCUUAACAUGAAUGGCAUGCAGAUUCAUGAAGCUUUUUUUUUUUUU